UACGUAGGGACCAAGCGUUGUUCGGAUUUACUGGGCGUAAAGGGCGCGUAGGCGGCGUGUUAAGUCACUUGUGAAAUCUCUAAGCUUAACUUAGAACGGUCAAGUGAUACUGAUGUGCUAGAGUGCAGAAGGGGCAACCGGAAUUCUUGGUGUAGCGGUGAAAUGCGUAGAUAUCAAGAGGAACACCUGAGGUGAAGACGGGUUGCUGGGCUGACACUGACGCUGAGGAGCGAAAGCCAGGGGAGCAAACGGG
rnacentral:rRNA from 1 species